GAGAAGAACACAUUAACAAUGUCAGUGGUGGCACUACUUUGCUGCCUUGAACUCCAGUUCGUACUGAAGUUCCAACAUGUCCGGCACAGCAACAGUCAGUGGUGGUGUGACUUCAUUCAGGUCAUGAUAGUCCACUGUCAGCCUCCACUCUCCAUUGGACUUAUGCACUGGUCAGAGAGGACUGUUAA